ensembl:Y_RNA Y_RNA Y RNA
GGCUGGUCUGAGUGCAGUGAUGUUUACAACUAAUUGAUCACAACCAGUUAUAGAUUUAUUUGUUCCUUCUUCACUCCCACUGCUUCACUUGAUAAACCUUUA